CCCUUAGAUGUUCUGGGCCGCACGCGCGCUACACUGACGGAGGCAGCGAGCAUGUCCUUCGCCGAGAGGUGUGGGGAAUCUUGUGGGUCUCCGUCGUGCUGGGGAUAGAUGGUUGCAAUUGUCGAUCUUGAACGAGGAAUUCCUAGUAAGCGCGAGUCAUCAGCUCGCGCUGAUUACGUCCCUGCCCUUUGUACACACCGCCCGUCGCUACUACCGAUUGGAUGGCUUAGCGAGAAUUUUGGAUCGGAGCCCGGGUGGUCGGCAACGGUCGCCCGGGAGAUCUGAGAAAUCAUUCCAGCUUGGUCAUCUAGAGGAAGUAAAAGUCGCAACA
rnacentral:rRNA from 1 species